rnacentral:tRNA from 1 species
CAGGGUGUAGCUCAGCUUGGUAGAGCGCGAGUUUUGGGUACUCGAGGCCGCUGGUUCGAAUCCAGUCACCCUGA